UUGAACGCUGGCGGCAUGCCUUACACAUGCAAGUCGAACGGUAACGCGGGGCAACCUGGCGACGAGUGGCGAACGGGUGAGUAAUGCAUCGGAACGUGCCCAGUAGUGGGGGAUAGCCCGGCGAAAGCCGGAUUAAUACCGCAUACGACCUACGGGUGAAAGGGGGGGAUCGCAAGACCUCUCGCUAUUGGAGCGGCCGAUGUCAGAUUAGGUUGUUGGUGGGGUAAAGGCCUACCAAGCCGACGAUCUGUAGCUGGUCUGAGAGGACGACCAGCCACACUGGGACUGAGACACGGCCCAGACUCCUACGGGAGGCAGCAGUGGGGAAUUUUGGACAAUGGGCGAAAGCCUGAUCCAGCCAUGCCGCGUGCGGGAAGAAGGCCUUCGGGUUGUAAACCGCUUUUGUCAGGGAAGA
rnacentral:rRNA from 1 species